rnacentral:tRNA from 1 species
AUAAAAGUAGUUAAAAUUUAAUAACUUUGGAUUUGCAUUCUAGGAUUGGGAUUUUUAUCUCCUUUUAUA